rnacentral:rRNA from 1 species
GACGAACGCUGGCGGCGUGCUUAACACAUGCAAGUCGAACGGAAAGGCCCUGCUUUUGUGGGGUGCUCGAGUGGCGAACGGGUGAGUAACACGUGAGUAACCUGCCCUUGACUUUGGGAUAACUUCAGGAAACUGGGGCUAAUACCGGAUAGGAGCUCCUGCUGCAUGGUGGGGGUUGGAAAGUUUCGGCGGUUGGGGAUGGACUCGCGGCUUAUCAGCUUGUUGGUGGGGUAGUGGCUUACCAAGGCUUUGACGGGUAGCCGGCCUGAGAGGGUGACCGGCCACAUUGGGACUGAGAUACGGCCCAGACUCCUGCGGGAGGCAGCAGUGGGGAAUAUUGCACAAUGGGCGGAAGCCUGAUGCAGCAACGCCGCGUGCGGGAUGACGGCCUUCGGGUUGUAAACCGCUUUCGCCUGCGACGAAGCGUGAGUGACGGUAAUGGGUAAAGAAGCACCGGCUAACUACGUG